AUAUAUUUAUAUUCGUGAGAUAUGUUAUAUGUAAAAUAGUGAUUUGUGAUGUACAAAUUAUUGAUUUCUGUAGUUAAAAAUAGUGAUUAAAAAUUGGCCAGAGACCGGUUUUUAGUUUGUAGGCUAAUUUGGUUUGUAUUGGAGUAAGACUCUCUCUCUCUCUCUCUAUAUAUAUAUUAUAAUUUAUCAAAUUCUUUUUAAAAAAUUCAACAAAUAUUAAACAUUUAAUAAUAAUUUUAGUAUGAAAUUUGUUAAUAGUUUGAAGACAGUGCCUUGCAUGGAUUUAUUAUUUGCAUUCCUAAGUUGCAAGAUAAAUACAAAUCAUAAUUUUAUUCUCUUUUCAGUUCUGGGCUCCUCGCUAAUAGACACAACUCUUGUGACAUGUGAUGCAUGAUAGAUCUUUCUCUUAUUCCUACGUUCUCUCUUUACUUCUCUCAGAUAACUGUUUAGCUAUUUAGAGAAUUUAAAUAAUUUCAUUUUCUGUAGAUGCUAUACAUAUGAUUGUAUCUUUACAGUUACUUGAUUACAAAUGUUAGAUAUUCACAUUUUUUACUUGGUGGUGGAAAUAGAUAAAAAUUUGCUAGCUCAAUGUGGGAGUCAUUCUGGCCUCGUUUCUGCUCUGCAAAGCCAACUAUAGAUGAUGCCAUGGCCACGCUAGCUUCAGUGAAAGAACAAGGGGCUACUAGUUCCCAACGAACACCUCCCGAAACCAGCCAGUGGAAAGAUGGUAAUCAACCCAUGAAUGUAACACUGAAGAUAUUUCCCUUGUGCCAGCUGCAUUUGCAUUGGUCAUAGCGGAAGCAUGGACACGUAAAAUUUCUGUUCAAGUAAGGGCCUGUCCACUUAUUCAGAUCACCAGCAUCUAUAUACAUGGGCGACAAGGCCUGUAAGGGUCUAUGCCAUCACUAGUUAAGUCAAUCACCAGUUGUUGCUGAUAUCAUUUCUGUUAAUAACAAGCUCACACAUUGUUAAUCUGUUCACCUGUCGCAUACUACAUGCAAGUGAUACAGCAUGUGCUUAUUGUGACACUGUUUUAAUUUGUACACCUCAUUUGUAGGGAUGGGCUUCAGAUAUAUCAUUUGUGCAUCGUAUUUAAGGUGGUAAUGUAAAGGUUUACCAGCUUUCUGUGAAUAACAGUCCUUAUCU